UCAAGGCCCAGAACUCACUCAGCUCUUCCCCAGGAGGAACAAGCCCUGAAUCAGGUGCAGUGCUGCCUGCCCCACUGUGCCAUGGGCCCCGGGCUCCUUUGCUGGGUGCUGCUUUGUCUCCUAGGAGAAGGCCCAGUGGACGCUGGAGUCACCCAAAGUCCCACACACCUGAUCAAAAUGAGAGGACAGCACGUGACUCUGAGAUGCUCUCCUAUCUCUGGGCACACCAGUGUGUCCUGGUACCAACAGGCCCUGGGUCAGGGGCCCCAGUUUAUCUUUGAGUAUUAUGAGAAAGAAGAGAGAGGAAGAGGAAUCUUCCCUGAUCGAUUCUCAGCUCGCCAGUUCCCUAACUAUAGCUCUGAGCUGAAUGUGAACCCCUUGUUGAUGGGGGACUCAGCCCUGUAUCUCUGUGCCAGCAGCUUGGCACAGCCCAGCGGAGUCACUGACAUUCUGUAUAUAAACUUCCUGCCUUAG